AUGUAAGUGGCAGUGCCAGCAGCCCCUCCAGUGCUGUGCUCUGGUAUAAAUAUGUCUGCUUCUCCACUGCAACUCUACAGACCUGCCUCGACAGCUCCAGACCAGCAGACACCAUGAAGACUCUCGUGCUCGUUUUCUCCCUGGCUCUCCUCUGCGGCUAUGCAGAGACACUUGUGUGUAGUGUUAAUGGUAGAGAUACCAUAACAUGUCGUAAAGGCCUUGAUGUUUGUUUCAAAAAAACUGCUUCUAUUACAGGUAACGCUGUUACGAUUAGAGGAUGCAUGUCUUCAAAAGGUUGUUAUGCUGAGCUGAACUGUUGCAAAACCGACAAAUGCAAUGCAUAAUUAUCAUGCUUCCAAAUGCAUCCUUGAAGGAAAUAAAAUCUAAAGCAUCUUA